UACUUUCAAAUUCGAUUAUCCCAUGGAAUUGAUUAUGUAACCAAACCUAUUAUUGACUGUAUAAAAACCUGGCCCAAGCUAAGUUUGGCACAAAGGGCACUUGAGAUGCCAAACGUGCCAUUACAUCACAUCACAUCACAUCACAUCACAUCACAUCACAUCAACAAGCUUAGUUUGUAUGUGAUCAAGAGGCGUGUGGUCGGCAUAUGGAUUCGGUCUUGUUGCAUGUAAUAAUAAAAGGACGGACAUUUGGUGCCUUCAACUUGCCGAGUCCGUGUUUUGUCACGUUGCGGAUGGCCGAAAAUUUGUUAAACGUUAAUGGCGGAAUAUCCAAAUCUACACAGCGUGAGCAAGGGGGCUGCGCAGGCACAGACCCGCUGGAGUGAAAGCUAAUAAGGAGAAAAUUAUGACGCUUCAGAAAAGGCGUUGCCGCAAGAUCGUCUGUACCUUCAGUUGCGUGGUUCGUCGGACGAAUGGCAGAGCACGUUAAAUUUUACCUUCACAAGUACAUUGUACGUCCUCGAGGCCUCGGUUCAACGUGUAGCGCUACACAGUCCGGUAAAUUGAACUUUUGAUAUGACCUAGAACAAAUUGCAAAUAGAAUUUAUUUUCAUGCUAUCACGCUAAGGAAUCUAAUUUCAUCAAAGGAGUGGAGUUGUUUUCGUUUUUUUUUCCUUCACUUUUUCGAUUCUAAUGUUUCAUCAUCCGUUAACAGUCAUAUGGAGGGCGUCAUGUUUUUGUUGCCUUGCUUACCUGUCAGAAUAUCCGUUCGCAUUCACGUAUGACAACUUCGCGAAACACGACUGACCACAGCAGACGACUUUCUUUGUCUAACAAUAAGGCCUGAGACGUAGUGACGUCAUACUUUGUAGUAGACGGACCCCACUUUAUCUGGCAACCCAACUUCGCUCCCAUAAGGAAAGCGCACAUGUAAAACAAGCCAUUACGUCAUUACGUCUCCGGUCUAUUAAAUUUAACACUUGUUAUCAAAUACUACAGGAUAUUUCCUUGGAAAAAAAAAAAGAAAUUUGAUUAUAUUUUCCCGUCCCAACUAUUUAUUGGUUUCAAAUAAAUCUCGUUGUGCUCAAAUUAACCAUUUGUUUCAGGGAAAAUCCAUACAUGAAGAGAUCCAUUUAAAGUUAAAAUUUAAGUGUCUACGCCAAUAGGCCAGAGUCCGAUUUUAAUUAUUACGGAAAACAUCCAAAAUACCAGAUUCAUGUGAUCGUUUUGUGAUGAAUUUAGGUCGUUGGCAUAACGUAAAAGCAACCUAUACAUUUUAAAGAAUAAAUUUAUACUAAAAAAAAACCGCUGUGAUGACAAAUAAACUGGAUUACAACUUGCAGUGAAAAUUAAGCUGAAUUCUGGGCCUGGGCUUUGGAGAAAAGAAAUUAUUUUGAAAAUUUUGAUUAUUUUUGAAAACGUGCCGGGGGGGGUGUGGACCGUGCCUUUGAAAUAUUUUUUUAAGUAAUAACUUGCGGUCUGAUCCGAAGAACCAUUUCGUCGAGACUCCAGUAUAUGCUUUUCUUGAGUAGGCCUAGUGCAUUUAACUCUUGACGGGUACAAGCAGAUGACCCAAUCAAUUUUCAUACCUCGAACAGGAUCUUCAAAAUUUUGCUGUUUAAAUUACAAAAUGUACUUAUAAAAAAUGUGUUUCUCAUCAAUCUGAAAGACAUUUUUGUUAUAAUUGUGAUCAAAGUGUUUUGAGAUGUUUUGUUUCAUAUUUUCAAGUACUAACAGUACGUUUGUACUGUAAGCAACACAACCUUAGCCCAGUACACGUCUAAACUUUUUUUUUUUUUUUUUUUUUAAUUUUCCGACGCAAUGUCGUCUGCUUGCACUCGCAACUGGUCAUGAAUCCUAAAACAUUCGCUUAUACAGGGUGUUUGUAAAAAAAGAAAAGAAAUGGAGCUUAUUUUGAUGAUUUCUCGAGUAUGACUAUUUAUUUAGGAAAAUGGAAACCACAACCUGUUACAUAACCAUGUCAUUUACCGUCUUUUUACUAAGUGAUGUAUCUGGCAUGCCAGAAAUGGCCUUGGAGCACACAUGCACCAUUAGACAAAUUGACAGUAGUUAGCAUGUUGAACAUAACAAAAUCCAGGACGUACAUACAUUAUUCAAAGUCAUUUAUUCAAUUGCCUCCGAAGUUCUCAUUGCUGUGAACACAUUCCUGAUAUCGUAUUGAGUCAAACUCGUUGAGCGAUACAAAAGAACAAAAGAACAUUCUAAGUGACAGGAUAGGGAACAAUAAAGUGAAAUUGUAGGUGUUGAACCUAUAGGUGACAUAUGACGUGAUAAAGAAAUGCAUUGGAAAUGUUGUACAUGUAACGUGUAUAGUACACACACUGUAGUGCUCAACUCAAAUUUAUGUUGAAAUCUUUCGGCAAAGUUUGUCAACCAUUUUUUUUCUAUCAAUCAAAUUAAAAACACAAGCAAAUCUCUGUUUCUUUGGAGCUCUAUCGUCGUAAUUGUAUUUGUUUAAUCAUCGAUAAAUAAAAAAAACUUAAACAAAAUAAAAGACUUGUUAUCAAUUAUAUCACGUGUUUAAAUAAUUACAAAUAAAAAUGUAAAUGUCUUGCAAAAACUUGCUUAAAUGCUGAGAGGACUCCCGCACUAGACUAUUAUGUGCGCAUUCUGUUUGCUUUACCGACUAGAUUAUUUUCAAAACACAUCAUGUACAAUUAAUGUACAUGUGUUUGCCAAAUUGCUUCGAUAGAGAGAUUCCGGCAUUCAGCAGGCAUUGUGCCAGACAGCUUUCAUUAUAAGAGAUCCUCUUUUGCUAUUUUGUACUGCUCAACGAGUUGGAAUCCUCUUGCAUUGUUAUCAUGAUUAAUACAAAAUUGAAAAAUUGAAUAAUAAAAGUGAAGACGGUAGCGAUGGGUUGUAACUGUGGGUGGAUGAGCAAACCUUUUCUUUGGCUGAGACGUAAAUGCCCGUCCUGCGUACGUUCAAAGCGAAUGAACACUUUUACAUCCCCUGCACUUACUCGUGCAAGCACGACAGCGUUCAUUUACCUCUCACGUAUCUUCUCGAGCCUGGCCCAAGUCACUUGGGUUUAAGUAUCCCAUAAAGCCGUGUCCGAAACGGGCUUCCACGGCUAUGCACGGAGCUACGGCUACGAAUUAUUGUUCCACUUCCGCACUUUUGUAACAAAGUCUAUAAAAAGUCAAGAUUUGAAAUAUUUCUCAGUCCCAGAUUCAUGUCUUAUUAUCAUUUUUGCAAUAAAUGACCUUUGUUGAGAUGAUAUAUGAAGCAGGUUGCAAAAUCCCCCUCCCCCCCAAAAAAAAGACAAAAAAUAAGAGGUGAGAAGUCAUAUUGUUGUAAAUUUAAUGGGGGGGGGGG
rnacentral:lncRNA from 1 species